UACAGAGGUCUCAAGCGUUGUUCGGAUUCAUUGGGCGUAAAGGGUGCGUAGGUGGCGGGGUAAGUCAGGUGUGAAAUUUCGGAGCUUAACUCCGAAACUGCAUUUGAUACUGCCUUGCUUGAGGACUGGAGAGGAGACUGGAAUUCCCGGUGUAGUGGUGAAAUGCGUAGAUAUCGGGAGGAACACCAGUGGCGAAGGCGACUUCCUGGCCUGUUCUUGACGCUGAGGCGCGAAAGCUAGGGGAGCAAACGGG
rnacentral:rRNA from 1 species